GAUGAACGCUGGCGGCGUGCCUAAUACAUGCCAGUCGAGCGAACAGACGAGGAGCUUGCUCCUCUGACGUUAGCGGCGGACGGGUGAGUAACACGUGGAUAACCUACCUAUAAGACUGGGAUAACUUCGGGAAACCGGAGCUAAUACCGGAUAAUAUAUUGAACCGCAUGGUUCAAUAGUGAAAGACGGGUUUGCUGUCACUUAUAGAUGGAUCCGCGCCGCAUUAGCUAGUUGGUAAGGUAACGGCUUACAAAGGCGACGAUGCGUAGCCGACCUGAGAGGGUGAUCGGCCACACUGGAAGUGAGACACGGUCCAGACUCCUACGGGAGGCAGCAGUAGGGAAUCUUCCGAAAUGGGCGAAAGCCUGACGGAGCAACGCCGCGUGAGUGAUGAAGGUCUUCGGAUCGUAAAACUCUGUUAUUAGGGAAGAACAAAUGUGUAAGUAACUAUGCACGUCUUGACGGUACCUAAUCAGAAAGCCACGGCUAACUACGUG
rnacentral:rRNA from 1 species